rnacentral:rRNA from 1 species
GACGAACGCUGGCGGCGUGCUUAACACAUGCAAGUCGAACGGAAAGGCCCUGCUUUUGUGGGGUGCUCGAGUGGCGAACGGGUGAGUAACACGUGAGUAACCUGCCCUUGACUUUGGGAUAACUUCAGGAAACUGGGGCUAAUACCGGAUAGGAGCUCCUGCUGCAUGGUGGGGGUUGGAAAGUUUCGGCGGUUGGGGAUGGACUCGCGGCUUAUCAGCUUGUUGGUGGGGUAGUGGCUUACCAAGGCUUUGACGGGUAGCCGGCCUGAGAGGGUGACCGGCCACAUUGGGACUAAGGGACGGACCAGACUCCUACGGGAGGCAGCAGUGGGGAAUAUUGCACAAUGGGCGGAAGCCUGAUGCAGCAACGCCGCGUGCGGGAUGACGGCCUUCGGGUUGUAAACCGCUUUCGCAUGUGACGAAGCGUGAGUGACGGUAAUGGGUAAAGAAGCACCGGCUAACUACGUG